GAACUCUGGAAUCUCAGCUGGAAGCAAAUAAAAGAAAACAGAAGGAGAUCCAGGCGAUGAAGCGUCAACUAACCAAGAUUGUGGACCUGGGGGACAACUUGGAAGACGCUCUGAUCCUUGAUAUCAAAUACAGCACCAUUGGAUUGGCUCAGCAGUGGGACCAGCUCUACCAGCUUGGGUUGCGGAUGCAACACAACCUGGAGCAACAGAUCCAGGCCAAGGACACCAAAGGUGUGAGUGAAGAGACCCUAAAGGAGUUUAGCACAAUCUAUAAACACUUUGAUGAGAAUUUGACAGGGCGCCUGACUCACAAAGAGUUCCGGUCCUGCCUGAGAGGACUCAAUUACUACUUGCCCAUGGUGGAGGAGGAUGAACAUGAGCCCAAGUUUGAGAAGUUCCUGGAUGCUGUGGAUCCAGGGAGGAAGGGCUAUGUCUCACUGGAGGACUAUACUGCUUUCCUGAUUGACAAGGAGUCAGAAAACAUCAAGUCCAGUGAUGAAAUAGAGAAUGCCUUCCAAGCCCUGGCGGAGGGCAAGUCAUAUAUUACCAAAGAAGACAUGAAGCAGGUCCGAUUCUGGUUGCUUCCCCUACUACACUGUC
rnacentral:sRNA from 1 species